CGAAGGGGGUCAGAACACAAAGAACUGCUAAUUC
rnacentral:tRNA from 1 species